rnacentral:rRNA from 1 species
GGCGAACGCUGGCGGCAGGCUUAACACAUGCAAGUCGAGCGGGCGUAGCAAUACGUCAGCGGCAGACGGGUGAGUAACGCGUGGGAACAUACCUUUUGGUUCGGAACAACACAGGGAAACUUGUGCUAAUACCGGAUAAGCCCUUACGGGAAAGAUUUAUCGCCGAAAGAUUGGCCCGCGUCUGAUUAGCUAGUUGGUGAGGUAACGGCUCACCAAGGCGACGAUCAGUAGCUGGUCNGAGAGGAUGAUCAGCCACAUUGGGACUGAGACACGGCCCAAACUCCUACGGGAGGCAGCAGUGGGGAAUAUUGGACAAGUGGGGGAAACCCUGAUCCAGCCAUGCCGCGUGAGUGAUGAAGGCCUUAGGGUU